rnacentral:tRNA from 1 species
GAGAUGGCUCAGUGGUUAAGAGCACUGACUGCUCUUCCAGAGGUCCUGAGUUCAAUUCCCAGCAACCACG